AACGAACGCUGGCGGCAGGCCUAACACAUGCAAGUCGAGCGCGCCCUUCGGGGUGAGCGGCGGACGGGUGAGUACCGCGUGGGAACGUGCCCUUCUCUGCGGAAUAGCCUCGGUAAACUGAGAGUAAUACCGCAUACGCCCUUUGGGGAAAAGAUUUAUCGGAGAAGGAUCAGCCCGCGUUGGAUUGGGUAGUUGGUGGGGUAAUGGCCGACCACGCCGACGAUCCAUAGCUGGUUUGAGAGGAUGAUCAGCCACACUGGGACUGAGACACGGCCCAGACUACUAGGGGAGGGAGCAGUGGGGAAUCCGAGAAUAUGGGGGCAAUCAUGAUCGAGCCAUGCCGGGUGAGUGAUGAAGGCCUGAGGGUUGUAAAGCUCUUUCAGCCGGGAAGAUAAUGACGGUACCAGAAGAAGAAGCCCCGGCUAACUCCGUG
rnacentral:rRNA from 1 species